AUUGAACGCUGGCGGCAGGCCUAACACAUGCAAGUCGAACGGUAACAGGAAGCAGCUUGCUGCUUUGCUGACGAGUGGCGGACGGGUGAGUAAUGUCUGGGAAACUGCCCGAUGGAGGGGGAUAACUACUGGAAACGGUAGCUAAUACCGCAUAACGUCGCAAGACCAAAGAGGGGGACCUUAGGGCCUCUUGCCAUCGGAUGUGCCCAGAUGGGAUUAGCUAGUAGGUGGGGUAACGGCUCACCUAGGCGACGAUCCCUAGCUGGUCUGAGAGGAUGACCAGCCACACUGGAACUGAGACACGGUCCAGACUCCUACGGGAGGUAGCAGUGGGGAAUAUUGCACAAUGGGCGCAAGCCUGAUGCAGCCAUGCCGCGUGUAUGAAGAAGGCCUUCGGGUUGUAAAGCACUUUCAGCGGGGAGGAAGGGAGUAAAGUUAAUACCUUUGCUCAUUGACGUUACCCGCAGAAGAAGCACCGGCUAACUCCGUG
rnacentral:rRNA from 1 species